rnacentral:rRNA from 1 species
AUUGAACGCUGGCGGCAGGCCUAACACAUGCAAGUCGAACGCGUGGCGGACGGGUGUGUAAUGUCUGGGAAACUGCCCGAUGGAGGGGGGUAACUACUGGAAACGGUAGCUAAUAUCCCAUAUCAUCUCAUGUGUGCAGAUGGGAUGUGCUAGUGGGGGGGGGAACGGCUCACCUAGGCGACGAUCUCUAGCCGGGCUGAGAGGAUGACCAGCCACACUGGAACUGAGACACGGUCCAGACUCCUACGGGAGGCAGCAGUGGGGAAUAUUGCACAAUGGGCGCAAGCCUGAUGCAGCCAUGCCGCGUGUAUGAAGAAGGCCUUCGGGUUGUAAAGUACUUUCAGCGAGGAGGCGUUACUCGCAGAAGAAGCACCGGCUAACUCCGUGCCAGCAGCCGCGGUAAUAC